CUGAAAUUGUCAUGUUGAAACUUUGAGCUGACUGCUCUGGAUAGAAAAAGGGAAAAGAAAUACUCAGUGGGUGGACUUUAAAAAAUCUUGUUCCCUUCAUUGCAAGUCAUGGCUUGUGAAGAGCACAAAAGAGGGAUUAUAAUUGCCGGCAAUAUGCCGACACUUGGUUUUUGACUACUUAAGAUUCUGUGAGAGAUGGAAUGUUCCGGCAGCUGUCGAAACGCCUGGAAUUCUAGCAUGAUGGGACACGUUUAUCUGUCUCACUACAGACCAAGCGACAGGCUUCUCCCUUCGCCGAUAUGUGACAGAAGAUUUUUUAAUGGCUUAUAGCUUCAGCAAACUAGGACCAUUAAUUGGUUUAUUUAUCAAAAUAUGAUAAUACAAAACAGUAUUUCUGCAAAUGACACAAUGAAGGAAAGAGUAAAGAAUCAUAGGAUUGUAACGACAGGCAGGAGACCACGGCACGCUACAGAAUGAUAAAGCACUGAAUGAACUUGUGCAUCCUAUCAUGCCUGUGUGAACUCUUUGGAAAAACUCCCUCAUUCCUCUGUUUAAGUACAUUUUGAAGAGUAUAACAGAUUUGCAGACUUAAUGUGAUGGUUUGCUGCCACCUGCUGGAGAUGUCCAUCCAUUGCCGCUGUGAGCCCAAGUUUUUGUCAGAUUCUGAUCCCUGUUGUAUUAUUGUUAACUUCCAUUUCCUGUAAACAUACUCAGAAUAAAUCCCAAUAAAUCUUCUUUCAAAUGUUA